rnacentral:lncRNA from 1 species
CUGAACAUGGCUUAAGUUGUACAAAGGGGCAGUGAGAGGUCACACUCUGCUGGUGAGCCUGCCGCUGUGCUAAAAUUGCCUAGAAGUAAGAUGAUCACAUUCUUCGUUGUCUGUUUGGUCUCCAACUUGAAACUACUGACAAACAGACCACGUACAGUUGCAGAAGAACCGCAAAGAUAAAGAUGAAGCCUAUCCUGUAAGGAACCGGAUCUGUCUGAUACUGUGAAUUGUUCCCUUAAGUGGAAGUAAUUCCAGCAGAUUUCCC